rnacentral:rRNA from 1 species
UGCGCAGGCGGCAUCGCAAGUCAGGCGUGAAAUCCCCGGGCUUAACCUGGGAAUGGCGCUUGAAACUACGGUGCUGGAGUAUGGCAGAGGGAGGUGGAAUUCCACGUGUAGCGGUGAAAUGCGUAGAGAUGUGGAGGAACACCGAUGGCGAAGGCAGCCUCCUGGGCCAAUACUGACGCUCAUGCACGAAAGCGUGGGGAGCAAACA